UCUUGUCCAGCCUCUGCACUUGGACUCCCCAGCCGCCUGUGUGACUGGGUGCUCCCCGCAGACGGUGAGUGUUUUCAGCAGAACAUCAGAGCUCUUGAGAAAGUUACUUUCCGGUUCUGUGAAACCAGACUGGCCUCACUUCUUCGAUUAUUGCAGAUUACAGUGCCUGUAAUCGCCUCCUUCAAACACCUAAGCUCUUAAACCUCCUGCCUGCGAGCCCUGCCUUAACCAUGCGCUUCCAGACAUCAUGGACAGAAGCCAGCCAACAUGGAGGAGCUGACGGAGGUGGUCACAGUGGCAGAGCCCGACCCCCUCCAGUGUUGCCUGCUCAUCCACAGCGGAGGCCGACCCCCUCCAGUGCCGCAAGCCCAUCUACAGUGGAGCCUGAUCACUACCAGUGCUGCCUGCUACGUCCACGGCGGAGCCUGUCCCCCUCCAGGGCAGCGUGCUCGUCCGCGGCGGAGGCCGACCCCUUCCAGGGCAGCGUGCUCGUCCACGGCGGAGGCCGACCCCCUCCAGGGCAGCGUCUACAGCAGCAGCACAAGGCCGUCUGCCCCUGGGACACGCGGUCCCCCGCCCCCGCUGCCGGCACGCCAAGGAAGUGGAGACACUGUGUUUUCCGGUUUUGGAAGAGCCCAGCAGUAGGUCCUUCUCAGAAAUCAUCUCCUCCGUGUCCGACGUGAAAUUCAGCCGCAGCGGUCGGUACGGGAUGAGCCAGGACUGCCUGUCAGAUGGAGGUGUGGGGCCUCGACACGGAGCGCCGGCCCAUUGAGACCCACCGGGCGAGGCCUUGGGGGCCACCGCCCCGACCUUCCUGCGCUUCCAUUAAGGUCCACGAGCACCUGCGAAGCAAGCCGUGUCCACUCUGCGAAAAUGACCGCAUCUUCGAUGACUGAGUGCUGCUGGAGUGGCCCCACCAGGUUCAAAGUGGGUCAGAAAGCAGUGGCGACAGCUCGCAACGUCUACAGCGCGUUUGGGCCAGGAACGGCUAAUGAACAUACACUGCAGCAGGGGUUCGUUUGCAAAGGAGACGAGAGCCUUGAAUACGGAGUGCAGUGGCCAACCGUCAGAAGCUGACAAUGAGCAAUGGACGGCCAUCAUCCACGCUGAUCCGCUAACAACUACGUAAGAAUCUGCCACAGAACUCAAGCGCCAACUGUGCUACGGUCAUUUGGCAUUUGAAGCAAAUUGAAGAGGUAAAAAGGCUAAGUGGGUGCCUCGUGAGGUGACCAAACAAUUUUUUAUAAAUGGUCAUUCUUAAGCCUUGUCUGUCUUCUCUUACUGUAUGCAAAACCUAAGAACCACGUCUCAGUUGGAUUGUGACGGGCGGUGAAAAGCGGAUUUUAUUCAACUGGCAAUGACCAGCUCAGUGGCUGGACUGAGGAGAAGCUCCAGAGCACUUUCCAGAGUCACACUUGCACCAAAAAUAGGUCAGGUCACUGGUGGUCUGCUGCCCCUCUGAGCCACGACAGCUUUCAGAAUCCCAGUGAAACCAUUCCACCUGAGAAGCAGGCUCAGCAGACCUGUUGGAAAUACACCAACAACUGCAACACAAGCCACCGUCAGUCAACAGAAAGGGCCCAGGUCUCCCCAGCGACGCCCGACCACGUCUCACAAGCAGUGCUUCGGGAGCUGAGCGACUGGGCUGUGGAGUUUUGCCUCCCUCACCAUAUUCACCUGCCUCUCACCAACAGACUCUGCCUCUUCAAGCAGCUCAGCGACUUUCUGCAGAGAAAGCAUUUCCACAACCAGCGGGAGGCAGAAGCUAUUUUCCAAGCGUUCAUCAGAUCCCAAAACAUGUAUUUUUAUGCUACAGAAAUAUUAACUAUAACUAUUUAUUGCUCCUUGGAAGAAAAGCUAUGAUCAGCCUAGACAGCGUAUUCAAAAGCAGAGACGUUACUUUGCCGACAAAGGUCCAUCUGGUCAAGGCUAUGGAUUUUCCAGUAGUCAGGUAUGGAUGUGAGAGUUGGACCAUAAAGAAGGCUGAGUGCUGAAGAAUUGAUGCUUUUGAACCGUGCUGUUGGAGAAGAUUCUUGAGAGUCCCUCGGACUGCAAGGAGAUCAGUCCUAAGUGUUCAUUGGAAGGACUGAUGCUAAAGCUGAAACUCCAAUACUUUGGCCACCUGAACUGAGUGAUUGGAAAAGCUGGGAAAGACUGAAGGCAGGAGAAGGGGCUGACAGAGGAUGAGAUGGUUGGAUGGCAUCACUGACUUGAUGGACAUGAGUUUAAGCAAGCUCCAGGAGUUGGUGAUGGACAGGGAGGCCUGGCGUGCUGCAGUCCCUGGGGUUGCAAAGAGUGACUGAUAACGAUUUAAAAUUCAUGGUCUGAAAUCACAAUUACUUUUGCACCAACCUAAUACACUUACUUUAAAGGUAGUUCUUUUACUCUGUUGGUUGUGAUGCAGUUCACAAAUGUGAGAUAUUGAACAACUGUCUUAAGUCCUUAAGCAUUUCUGGAAAAAUGGGGUUGUAUAUAUUUGUUUCGCUAUUUUCGCCAAAAUUUUAAUAAAUUUCAAAUGUUUAGCUGGAUUUGUCCUGUGUAAUUGGACAGUUUUUUCCAUAUUUCCUUCGAGACAUAUUUCCCACCGAACAAGAAACCAGCCUUCUGCCUCUCAGAGGGCCCUGAGCUGGGGUGUGCAUGGCCAGGCAGGGGUCCCUGUUUGGGGCUGACGGCCCUCAGAAGUGCUCUUGAGGAGUAUGAGAUUUAAGAGAUGCCCAGGAAUUUCUCCAGGCUUCUUUGCCAGUUGACACUUUUGAUUCCAUACAAGCCUCUUCCCCUCCUGAUGACCUAAGAAUCCUGUGGUUCAUCGGACUUAAGUUCGCCUUAUUUUGGCUGCACUGGCCCUUAGCUGCUGCGUGUGAGCUUUGCCUACCUGUGCUGAGCACAGGCUCAGGAGUCAUGGCUCAUGGCCUUAGUCGCUCCACAGCACGUGGGGUCUUCCCAGACCCGGGACCGAACCCGUGGCCCCUGCACUGGCAGGCGGUUUUCAACCACUGGACCGGUAGGAACGCUCCCAUUUCAAUAGUGCGCUUCCCUUGUUAUCACCGACUUGAAUUAACGACUUUGGCCCUAAAUGGAGCAGCCCUGUGGGCCUGCGAGGAGGUUAUUCAGAGGGUCCCACCCCCUCUCCUGGCCACACGCCACCCGUGCAGACAGCCAGGCUCAUUCAUUUCUGGCAGAUUGAUCCCGAGUUUCUGGCGCAAAUGAGCAGAUGCGCAGCCUCUGGCUGCUUUCUGCACGUUGUUCAGCCGCUGUCACGUCUGACCCUGCGGCCCCAGGAAACUGCAGCGCGCCAGCCUUCACUCUCCUCAGCUGUCUCCCAGUUUGUCCACAUUCAUUUCCGUGGAAUCAGUGAUGCUG
ensembl:lncRNA